UACAGAGGUCCCAAGCGUUGUUCGGAUUCACUGGGCGUAAAGGGUGCGUAGGUGGUUAGGUAAGUCUAAUGUGAAAUCUCCGAGCUUAACUCGGAAACUGCAUCGGAUACUAUCUAGCUUGAGGGUUGGAGGGGGGACUGGAAUACUUGGUGUAGCAGUGAAAUGCGUAGAUAUCAAGUGGAACACCAGUGGCGAAGGCGAGUCCCUGGACAACUCCUGACACUGAGGCACGAAAGCUAGGGGAGCAAACGGG
rnacentral:rRNA from 1 species